AACGCGAAGAACCUUACCCAGGUUUGAAAUAUAGGAGACCGCGCCAGAGACGGCGCUUCCCGCAAGGGCUGCUAUGUAGGUGCUGCAUGGCUGUCGUCAGCUCGUGCCGUGAGGUGUUUGGUUAAGUCCAGCAACGAGCGCAACCCUUAUCAUUAGUUGCCAACACGCGAGGUGGGGACUCUAGUGAGACUGCCUAGGUUAACUAGGAGGAAGGUGAGGAUGACGUCAAGUCCGCAUGGCCUUUAUGUCCAGGGCUACACACGUGCUACAAUGGUCGGUACAGAAGGCAGCGAAGCCGCGAGGUGGAGCAAAUCCUAUAAAACCGAUCUCAGUUCAGAUUGCAUUCUGCAACUCGGAUGCAUGAAGUUGGAAUUGCUAGUAAUGGCGUGUCAGCAACAACGCCGUGAAUACGUUCCCGGGCCUUGUACACACCGGUACUA
rnacentral:rRNA from 1 species